GACGAACGCUGGCGGCGUGCUUAACACAUGCAAGUCGAACGGUGAAGCGCCUUCCUUUUUGGUGGGUGUGGAUGAGUGGCGAACGGGUGAGUAACACGUGAGUAACCUGCCCCCUUCUUCUGGAUAACCGCAUGAAAGUGUGGCUAAUACGGGAUAUUCUGGGUCUGUCGCAUGAUGGGUCUGGGAAAGAUUUUGUUUCGGUGGGGGAUGGGCUCGCGGCCUAUCAGCUUGUUGGUGGGGUGAUGGCCUACCAAGGCGGUGACGGGUAGCCGGCCUGAGAGGAUGGGCGGUCACACUGGGGCUGAGACACGGCGCAGACUCCUACGGGAGGCAGCAGUGGGGAAUAUUGCACAAUGGGCGCAAGCCUGAUGCAGCGACGCCGCGUGAGGGAUGGAGGCCUUCGGGUUGUGAACCUCUUUCGCCAGUGAAGCAGGCCUGCCUCGUUUGUGGGUGGGUUGACGGUAGCUGGAUAAGAAGCGCCGGCUAACUACGUG
rnacentral:rRNA from 1 species